rnacentral:rRNA from 1 species
CCUACGGGGGGCAGCAGUAGGGAAUCUUUCACAAUGGGCGAAAGCCUGAUGGAGCAACGCCGCGUGCAGGAUGAAGGCCUUCGGGUUGUAAACUGCUUUUAUAAGCGAGAAAUAUGAUGGUAACUUAUGAAUAAGGAUCGGCUAACUACGUGCCAGCAGCCGCGGUCAUACGUAGGAUCCGAGCAUUAUCCGGAGUGACUGGGUGUAAAGGGCGUGUAGGCGGGAGCGCAAGUCAGAUGUGAAAACUCAGGGCUCAACCCUGAGCCUGCAUUUGAAACUGUGUUUCUUGAGUGCUGGAGAGGCAAUCGGAAUUCCGUGUGUAGCGGUGAAAUGCGUAGAUAUACGGAGGAACACCAGUGGCGAAGGCGGAUUGCUGGACAGUAACUGACGCUGAGGCGCGAAAGCGUGGGGAGCAAACAGGAUUAGAUACCCGGGUAGUC